GGCCAGGGUUACUGCAUAUGCAAACAGGUAUGUUAGCUCUUGCUCCAGAGCACAAUCUUCCAAGCAGGUGAGCACAUUGGGAAUACAGGGUUGGGCUCAGCUGUCUGCUCAGGAUAGACAGUUGGUAGAUAGAGCAGGAGCCAGACGUAUCCACAGUUACCAGGUUGUCACAGAUGGGGGUGGCUAUAAGGUGUUACAGGUGCCACUAGCAACAGUGCUGGAAGUAAAAGAGGUGGGCAAGCCUACUUAACCACAUCUUUUAUUUAGACCUUCUCUCAUUCCCUUUUUCAAUGGCCGUUGGAGCCCAAACCUACAGUUACUUUACCUUUGUUUUUUGGGUGCCUGUCCUAACUCAGCAAAAAUGAGAGAUUUGGUAGAAGAUAUAGACUGUGUAUUUGAAGUUGCUUUACAGGGUAUAAUUGAGUACUUUACUUAGAAACUGAUGCAAAGCAUUGUGAUUUUAGGCCCUCGGGCACCGUCAGUUGUCCGAUCUGCAUGGAUGGAUACUCUGAGGUAAGCAACCUACUUCACUCAAAAGAACUUGGAGGAUUUGUGCAUUGUGUGGAAUUUGAUACCUGUCAUGAGGCUAAUUUGCAAGUGUAUGUGUCGGUGGUGGUGGCACAUUUUAUCUUUAGCCCUUGUGCAAAUUGAUGUUUCCACUCCAGCUUUAACUAGAAGCUGCUGGCUUUUUUUUUUUUUUUUUCUUCGGAGCUGGGGGCCGAACAGGGCCUUGUGCUUGCUAAGCAAGCGCUCUACCGCUGAGCCAAAUCCCCAACCCCGCUGCUGGCUUUUUUUUGAGGUUCCUCAUAAUCACUUUGUACUACUGCACUUGGCGAAGUCCUGUCCAAUGAGACUGUUGUAUAUGCCUCUGCCUUUUCUGGUAUAACCCAGCUCCUUUGUUUUACUGGUCUCCUUGUAGAAAAGGGGAUACUUUAAGGCUGGUUUUUUGUUUUUUUUUGUUUUUUUAAAUCUUUAUUAAAGGCUGUUCUUUUAAUGUCUUCUAGAUUGUGCAGAAUGGGCGUCUCAUUGUUUCUACAGAAUGUGGCCACGUCUUCUGUAGCCAGUGCCUCCGUGAUUCCCUUAAGAAUGCUAACACUUGCCCAACUUGUAGGAAAAAGAUCAACCAUAAACGGUACCAUCCCAUUUAUAUAUGAAAUGUUCACAACUGCUCAGGAUAGACCAAUGGACAGACAACCGGGCUGGCUUUUCUGCAUGGUAUCUGCCUCCAGUUUCCUGAGCUCAAAAAGACUUUCAAAAAUCAAUGUCUGAUGUAAACUGGUCUUUUGUUUUCCAACCCCUUACAUCCUUUUGUUAUCUCCAGUUUGAUGCUAUGGAGCACGAUCCAGGGAUCCUCCCAGAUCAGCUCAGCAUCUCUGCCCCUCUGGGUGGUCUGAACCCAG
rnacentral:lncRNA from 1 species